GCUUUGCGAAGAACAUGGCCAUUAGGAGUUGUGCUUACAUUUUGACUGUGCAUGUUUGCUUAGCUUGCAGCUGGGAGGCGCAUGUGGUGGUGAGAUAUUACAGCCAAUUGCGUGUUAAAAAUCUGGUGAAUCGAAUGGCAUUCAAUUCGAUCUCGAUUACAGCUAUCUUUUUUUGUUUAUGUUCUAUUGGUCAGGUUUUUCAUUUUUGGAUAUUACAGCCACAUUGCUGCUCAUUUCACUUGUCUGUUGCAGUAUCUAGAGUGUGGAUGUGGUGUGUGACCUCUGCUUAAAACUGACUUCGAAAUGAUAGAUAUUAGUGGAGUGCAAGGGCCUGCUAGGCUUGGUAUAUUGUCCCAAAUUUGUAUCUAGUAUACUUUUGACCACUUGUAUGUAUCUGCUUUCUUUUGUCUUAUUCGUAAAACUUCUAAGAUGAUUUGUUGUUCCAUUUUUGUGUACACUUGUGUGCCAUUCCAGUUAAUGCAGUUGAAUUUGUUUUUCCUUUUAUUUCGGGUUCUUCAUGCCGCUCCAUUCUUCAUUUGGUCUCAUAGUGUGAAUGGCAUACUUGAAAGUAGUUGUAUGUGUUUUCUUUUAUUUCGGUUUCUUUAAGCCGCUUCAUUCUUCAUUUAGUGUCAUAGUGUAAAUGACAGUUGUAUUUGUUUUGUUUUAUUUUAUUUCGGUUUCUUUAAGCCACUUCAUUUAGUGUCAUAGUGUAAAUGGCAUAUUGGGCAAUAGUUGUGUUGUGUUUUCUGAACCCAAUGGCAUAAUUAUUUUUUGUUCAGCCCAAGUGGUAAAAUAUUCUUUCUAGUUUAUAUAAUUCUAAAGAUAAUGCAUGUGCCCCUUCAUCACUGUGUGUCCUUCGUGUGGCCCCUUUGCCUUGUGUUUCUACUUUCACGAUUCUUUUAGUUAGAAGGGUUAGUUUAUUCCCUCAAGUUCUAAUUAUAUAUGCGUCCCAGGGGAGCAAAAAAAUCACUCUACCUCCAGUGCAAGGGAUUAGGGUCCAUCUUUUGCAAGCAAGGUUCAUCAAUUAUGCUCAGAAUCUUUAUGGACUGCCAUUACAGAUUAGAGUUGCUCUAGAUAUAAUCAUGUUUGAACAUCCUCAACAUUGAUCUCCUUUGUUAUUGUUGUGGUCUAUCAUAGGUAACUUUCUUCUACUUGGUGUAAAGAUCGAUCUAACAGUCUAGGAGUCUGAUUCAACAUCUUAUACAUGUACUUAAUAUCUCAAUUUCCUUUCAGGAAAGUAGAGCC